rnacentral:piRNA from 1 species
UCCACAUGUUACUAAUGCCUGAAAGGGCUG